rnacentral:rRNA from 1 species
GACGAACGCUGGCGGCGUGCUUAACACAUGCAAGUCGAACGGAAAGGCCCUGCUUUUGUGGGGUGCUCGAGUGGCGAACGUGUGAGUAACACGUGAGUAACCUGCCCUUGACUUUGGGAUAACUUCAGGAAACUGGGGCUAAUACCUGAUAGGAGCUCCUGCUGCAUGGUGGGGGUUGGAAAGUUUCGGCGGUUGGGGAUGGACUCGCGGCUUAUCAGCUUGUUGGUGGGGUAGUGGCUUACCAAGGCUUUGACGGGUAGCCGGCAUGAGAGGUUGAUCGGCCACAUGGGGACUGAGAGACGGCCCAGACGGCUACGGGAGGCAGAAGGGGGGAAUAUUGCACAAUGGGCGGAAGCCUGAUGCAGAAACGCCGCGUGCGGGAUGACGGCCUUCGGGGUGGAAACCGCUGUCGCCUGUGACGAAGCGGGAGUGACGGUAAUGGGUAAAGAAGCACCGGCUAACUACGUG